rnacentral:rRNA from 1 species
AUUGAACGCUGGCGGCAGGCCUAACACAUGCAAGUCGAGCGGAGCUGCGGACGGGUGAGUAAGGCCUAGGAAUCUGCAUGUUAGUGGGGUAUAACGUCGGGAGACGUGCCCUUAUACCACAUACUAUCAGAUGAGCCUCGGUCGGCUUAGCUAGUUGGUGGGGUAAAGGACUACCAAGGCGACGAUCCGUAACUGGUCUGAGAGGAUGAUCAGUCACACUGGAACUGAGACACGGUCCAGACUCCUACGGGAGGCAGCAGUGGGGAAUAUUGGACAAUGGGCGAAAGCCUGAUCCAGCCAUGCCGCGUGUGUGAAGAAGGUCUUCGGAUUGUAAAGCACUGUAAGUUGGGAGGCGUUACCAACAGAAUAAGCACCGGCUAACUUCGUGCCAGCAGCCGCGGUAAUAC